CAUGUGGUUGGUUAGCAAGCUACUUACCACACAGCCACACAUGUGCAAACACUCGCAUGUGUCACGCAAAAUUGUCAAUUACUCAAACAAAUUCCUCUUUGGGGAUUUCCUUGAUUUCUGUUGUGAUUGCUGCCUUCAGUUCACCAAUCGUUUGAGGGUUGUUCUGGUAAACAUUAUCCCUAAGAUACCCCAAUGGAUAAAAAUCUGGGGGUUCAAGUCCAGUGAAUGUGGUGCCCACUCAACGUCAUACUUUCUGCUGGUCAGUCUCUCCUGAAAUCAUGCUCUCAGACAGGCUAGAGAGUCAUUUGAUGUGUGAGUAGUGGCCCCGUCUUGCUGGAACCAUUCUUCAUUUUGAUCUAUCCCCUCUGCAUCAUUUUAUUCAAAGAGUUGUGGGUUUUGUCUUUUUUGGGGGUCACCUUGUAUAUAUAUAUAUUCUUUUAUUCUUUUACUUGUUUCAGUCAUUUGACUGCAGCUAUGC